ensembl:lncRNA
AUGGCAUGGACACAGCCCCCGCCUUUUAGCUCACCUCAGGAUCGUAACUACAGCAUCCCAGAACCAAGUUACCGUGGGCCACGCCCAACAAUCCGCAACUUCUCAAGUCGGGACCCAAGUGAGUUCGCGCGGCUCAAGAUCUCAUUGGAGAACCUCCUACCACAUGAUGCAUCUGAGCUGUUUAAAUAUCAAGUGUUGGUCGAUCACCUGCAACUAGAAGAAGCCAGGUUAAUAGCAGAUGCUUACCUUAACUCCCCAACACCCUUCUCAGACACAAUGGUUGCCCUCAAUGACAAGUUCGGCCGGCCACAUCAGAUAGCGCUGAGGCGUAUUGCUGCUGUGAUGGACUCACCAGACAUAAAGCGGGGAGACUUUGCCGCAUUUGAGAAGUUUGCACUCCAGAUACAAUCACUGGUGGGGAUGCUGAAGACACUUGGCCACGAGGGUGAAGUGGAACUACAAUGUGGCUCACAUGUUGCUCGUCUGUUGAGCAAGCUGCCGCCUGAGCAGAGAGCAGAGUUUCGCCGCUGCAUGUACCAUCAGGGCACACAAACCCACACCUUAACUAAUCUUUCAGAUUGGUUGAAAUACGAGUCUUGGUGCCAGGACUCUGAAGGACAGUUGGCUGUGAGAGGAGCUCGGGAGAAGCCGGUGUCCAGAUAUGAGGGUAGGAAGGGUAAGCAACCUACUACUGUCCUCCAUGGUGUGAAGGACACUGCUAAGAAAUCUGAGGCUCCAGUUCCAAGCAGCUCCUUCAAAAGGAACAAGAGCAAGCCAUAUUGUCCAUUCUGCAAUAAUGAGGAACACUACCUUAGCCAGUGCACAGAGGUAUCCAGGCUAACAAAGGAUCAGCUGACCGAAUGGAUAAAAAGUAACAAGAGGUGUUGGCGAUGUGCACGGCCACACCAGGCGGCCCAGUGCAACUUAAAAAAGACAUGCAGCCUCUGCCAAGGGAAACAUCUCCAGGUUCUGCAUGAGGUGAAUAUGAGGUCAUCCAAGGAGGCAGCGUCAACACCGGCAGCGGAAAGCCAAGGCACAAGGGGGACAACAGAGGUUCUGUAUUUAGACAGACCCACUGAAGGCAGUCGGGUCCUUCUGAAAGUUGUCAAAGUCCACCUUCACCAUGGUGACCAAUCAAUCAACACCUAUGCCAUACUUGAUGACGGUUCAGAGAGAACUAUGCUGUUGUCAGAUGCUGCAGAGAAGCUAGGUGUGCAGGGGAUUCAAGAGGACCUACCACUAUGUACAAUUAGAGAGGAAGUGCAGACACUUCGUGGUGCAUCAGUGUCGUUCUUUAUUUCUUCGCCAUUAAAGCCAAAGACCAAGUUUAAGAUUACAGGUGCAUUCACUAGUGAUCGUAUUGGACUAGCUGCCCAUACUUACCCCAUGGAGCAACUCCGGAACACCUACAAGCACCUCACUGGCCUUCCCAUACGGACUCUUAUAAAUGUCAAACCCCUGCUUCUCAUUGGGAGUGACCAUCCCCAUCUCGUCACUCCCAUUGAACCUGUCAGAUUGGGACCUCCAGGUGGGCCUGCUGCCAUCCGCACAAGGCUGGGCUGGACUCUGCAGGGCCCAUCGAGUGUAGUCCGUCACCACGCCCAAUCACAGCAGUGUCUAUUUACAACAGUAACACCCCAGGUGAGCGAGCUUAUGAAACAUGUUGAGAGAUUAUGGCAGGUCGACAUUGUUCCAUUCAGAAGCGAGAAACUAGUUACUCGUUCAAGGCAGGACCAAGAGGACAUCAGCAUCCUGGAGACCAAAACCAUCAGGGUAGAGGUUGAUGGCAUUCUCCGUUACGCAACCCCACUGCUCCGCCGGAAAGACAUGCCGCUCUUUCAGGCUACCAAAGAAGCCGUCAUGCCCUGUUUACGAAGUGUAGAGAGGCGACUUGCCAGAGAUCCUGCACGAGCAGAAGCCUACAGAGUGGAGAUGGAGAAAUUAAUAAAGGCGGGCUCUGUCAUCAAGUGUGGACCGAAAGUUUCAGACAAGGAAGGUUGUGAGGAAUGGUAUAUCCCUCACCAUAUGGUGAGCCAUAAUGGCAAGAAUAGGCUGGUAUUCAACUGCUCCUAUCAGUAUCGAGGGCAGAACCUCAACGACCAUCUACUGUCUGGGCCGACCUUAGGAGCAUCACUACUGGGAGUUCUGCUAAGAUUCCGAGAGCAUGCAGUUGCAGUUAGCGGAGACAUUAGAGGCAUGUUCCACCAAGUUCGCCUCCUCCCAGAGGAUCGUGCUCUGCUCAGAUUUCUUUGGCGCGACAUCAAGGUCUUUGUGGGCACCCGCGUGGCAGAGAUACAGGAGCUGACUGACGGGCAUGCCUGGAGAUAUGUUGAUACCGCAAGAAACCCUGCGGAUGACGUAACACGCGGAAAGAAGCUGCGAGAGCUUAUUCAGCCAAAUAGAUGGAGCCUGGGACCAGCCUUCCUCCUGAACAGUCCAGUCUUAUGGCCAGAGGACCCCACUGUUGACCAAACAGAAGAUACCUCAGAGCUAUGCAAGCCUAUCUUCUGUGGGGUCGCCACCGUUGCAUCAAGCCAGGCAACUUCAGACCUGGGCCAAUACGGCUCGUGGAAGGAGUUGUUGGAAGGGACAGUGCAGGAGCUGCAUGGGGCGGCCAACUCUAAUGAUAAGCCCACAGCUGAAGACUACCGACAGGCUGAACAAUUAAUACUUCAGAGGGCUCAGAGGGAUAGUUUUCAGCAGGAGUACAGCCUCCUGAAAGCUGGUAAACCCGUCCCCAGCUACAGUCGACUUCGCACGCUGUCUCCAGAGCUGGAUGGAAAGGGAGAGCUCAUUCGUGUUGGAGGACGACUCCGUCGAGCAGAAGGCCUAGAACUGACCACUCUUCAUCCAGUCAUCUUGGACCCAGGUCAUUGA